rnacentral:rRNA from 1 species
CGAACGGGUGAGUAACACGUGAGUAGCCUGCCCACAACUUUGGGAUAACGCUAGGAAACUGGUGCUAAUACUGGAUAUGUGCUCCUGCUGCAUGGUGGGGGUUGGAAAGCUCCGGCGGUUGUGGAUGGACUCGCGGCCUAUCAGCUUGUUGGUGGGGUAGUGGCCUACCAAGGCGGCGACGGGUAGCCGGCCUGGGAGGGUGACCGGCCACAUUGGGACUGAGAUACGGCCCAG